rnacentral:rRNA from 1 species
UGGUGGAGUGAUUUGUCUGGUUAAUUCCGUUAACGAACGAGACCCCGCCUGCUAAAUAGUCUUACGAAUGCCUAGCAUUUGUGUAGUCUUCUUAGAGGGACUUUCGGUGACUAACCGAAGGAAGUUGGGGCAAUAACA